GAGUCUGUGAUGAAAUCUUUUUCCUGUCUCAAGAGAGGUGUUGUCUUAAAAUCUUGUGCAAUUGAGUUAUGCUGAGGCUC
rnacentral:snoRNA from 1 species